rnacentral:rRNA from 1 species
GACGAACGCUGGCGGCGUGCUUAACACAUGCAAGUGGAGCGACGAACCGGGCUUCGGCCCGGGGCAGAGCCGCGAACGGGUGAGUAACACGUGGGUAACCUGCCCUAAUGAUUGGAAUAACUCGGGGAAACUCGAGCUAAUACCAAAUGUGCCCAACGAUCAUAAGUUCGUUGUGUAAAGGUAGCUUCGGCUUCCGCAUUAGGAUGGGCCCGCGGCCCAUUAGCUUGUUGGUGAGGUAACGGCUCACCAAGGCGACGAUGGGUAGCUGGUCUGAGAG